rnacentral:rRNA from 1 species
GUUAUAUGGUCAAGCGAAUAAGCGCACACGGUGGAUGCCUUGGCGGUCAGAGGCGAUGAAGGACGUGGUAGCCUGCGAAAAGCGUCGGGGAGCUGGCAACAAGCUUUGAUCCGGCGAUGUCCGAAUGGGGAAACCCACCCGUAAGGGUAUCCUGCAGUGAAUACAUAGCUGCUGGAAGCGAACGCGGUGAACUGAAAUAUCUAAGUAACCGUAGGAAAAGAAAUCAACCGAGAUUCCCUGAGUAGCGACGAGCGAACGGGGACUAGCCCAAAAGUCGAUCGAGUUCUAGCAAAGCGGUCUGGAAAGGCCGGCCAUAGAAGGUGAUAGCCCUGUAUGCGAAAGGGCUCGAUCGAUGAAAUUGAGUAGGGCGGGGCACGUGAAACCCUGUCUGAACAUGGGGGGACCAUCCUCCAAGGCUAAAUACUACUGACCGACCGAUAGUGAACCAGUACCGUGAGGGAAAGGCGAAAAGAACCCCGGCGAGGGGAGUGAAAUAGACCCUGAAACCGUGUGCGUACAAGCAGUCGGAGCCCGCAAGGGUGACGGCGUACCUUUUGUAUAAUGGGUCAGCGACUUACUGUCUGUGGCGAGCUUAACCGUAUAGGGGAGGCGAAGGGAAACCGAGUCUGAAUAGGGCGCAUAGUCGCAGGCAGUAGACCCGAAACCGGGUGAUCUAGUCAUGCCCAGGGUGAAGGUUGAGUAACAUCAACUGGAGGCCCGAACCCACUCCCGUUGCAAAGGUAGGGGAUGAGGUGUGAUUAGGAGUGAAAAGCUAAUCGAACCCGGAGAUAGCUGGUUCUCCUCGAAAGCUAUUUAGGUAGCGCCUCAUGUGAAUCUUCCUGGGGGUAGAGCACUGUUAUGGCUAGGGGGUCAUUGCGACUUACCAAACCAUGGCAAACUCCGAAUACCAGGACAGAAUGCAUGGGAGACACACGGCGGGUGCUAACGUCCGUCGUGAAAAGGGAAACAACCCAGACCCACAGCUAAGGUCCCAAAUUACCGCUAAGUGGAAAACGAUGUGGAAAGGCACAGACAGCCAGGAGGU